UACGGAGGGUGCGAGCGUUAUCCGGAAUCACUGGGCGUAAAGGGCGCGUAGGCGGUUUGUUAAGUCCGAUGUUAAAGACCGAGGCUCAACCUCGAUACGGCGUUGGAUACUGACAAGCUGGACGGUUGGAGAGGAAGGUAGAAUUACCAGUGUAGCGGUGGAAUGCGUAGAUACUGGUAGGAAUACCCAUUGCGAAGGCAGCCUUCUGGACAACACGUGACGCUGAGGCGCGAAAGUGUGGGGAGCAAAGCCGG
rnacentral:rRNA from 1 species